rnacentral:rRNA from 1 species
UACGUAGGGUGCAAGCGUUGUCCGGAAUUAUUGGGCGUAAAGAGCUCGUAGGCGGUCUGUCGCGUCGGCUGUGAAAACUCGGGGCUCAACUCCGAGCUUGCAGUCGAUACGGGCAGGCUAGAGUUCGGCAGGGGAGACUGGAAUUCCUGGUGUAGCGGUGAAAUGCGCAGAUAUCAGGAGGAACACCGGUGGCGAAGGCGGCUCUCUGGGACGGUACUGACGCUGAGACGCGAAAGCGUGGGGAGCGAACAGG